UACAACUUACAACAAUUCUCAUCUUCUAUAUAAAUGUUCUUCAACUUUCUCUAAACACAAAAUACGCAUCUCAAAACCUCUUCUAUUUUGUUACCAAAAAAAAAAAAAAAAACCUCUUCUAAUUUCAAUUACCAAUGCACCACCAGAUCAAACACGAAAACCUCUUUCAACUUCAGAAAGCUAAAUCCCUUUGAAAACAACAAUUAUCUUUGGAGCUUUGAAAACAAGAAUGGAAUAUCAGAGCUUUAAAAGCCUCUAUUUGCUUCCGAUUCUAAACGGUGAAAUUCAAAAGUCUGGAUCUACAUAGUCCAACUAUAACGAAAGGGGCUAGGCCGUGAUCAAAGAAAUCCAAGCUUACGUUUGUGUACAAGCCAGGAGAGUGUUUUCAAGAUAACAAGGAAUGUGCUUUACAUCAGGAAAUUUGGUAAAAAUUCAGUUACAAGAGCACCACUGAAAGGAAAGAUUUGAUUCCUCUCAUCUUUCACAUGUACUCUGAAGGAGAGUAUCCCUGUCCUGUUCUGCAACAAAAGUCUUCACUAAAUUUACACAUAUAGUUGCUGUGAAGGCUACCGGAAAUGUGUUAUGCUACGAGUUUUUGCAGAGUGGAGUAAACGAAUGACAUUGAAACCAACUAGAGUCUUAGCUUUCAUUUAUAAAGCCAAAGAAAUUCUUCAAGUUGAUUGUUGUAAUUUAUAAGUGUUUGUGGUAUAACAUAAAAACUCAUUCCUUUAAGUUUUUCUUUUUUGUUCGGAUUUUCUAAUAAACUCUCCUUUGCAGAAGUUAAGUUCUCAUUAACCAAUCUAGGUUGUAGCAAAUUCAAGAGUAAAAAAGCAUGCCUAAUUUAACAAGGUUUGUUUUUACGAAUAAAUUUAAACAGAUUUCAUUUCA